UACGUAGGGGGCAAGCGUUGUCCGGAAUCAUUGGGCGUAAAGAGCGUGUAGGCGGUCCGGUAAGUCGGCUGUGAAAGUCCAGGGCUCAACCCUGGGAUGCCGGUCGAUACUGCCGGACUAGAGUUCGGAAGAGGCGAGUGGAAUUCCCGGUGUAGCGGUGAAAUGCGCAGAUAUCGGGAGGAACACCGGUGGCGAAGGCGGCAUCCUGGACCGGUAUUGACGCUGAGGCGCGAAAGCUAGGGGAGCAAACGGG
rnacentral:rRNA from 1 species